GGCGCGCAACUGCUGCGCCCCACCGCGCGGCGAGGCUGCCACUCAGGAAACAAUAUAAAUAAAACCACGUGCAGCUGCGGCCCGGGAGGCAGCGCGGAGCCCCCGGCUGGCCGCAGCGCGGACAAUGGCGUGACCAGGGCGAGUGGACAGCGGCCCCGUGGAGGCUCGGCCUCGGCGGAGGAGCGCUCGGAGCGCGCAUCCCGGGGGAACCCCGGCCGGCGGCACCACCCGGGGCAUCCCUGCCCGUCCCCCGCCCUCUCCCCGCGCACGGUCGCGCACACUCGCCCCGGGAGCGCGCCCACCUGGAAGCGAGCCGAGCGGCGGCAGCAGCAGCAACAGCAGCAGCAGCAGCAGGGGCGGCAUCCCCGGGCGCACGGGAGGCGCCAUUCAGCGGGGCUGCGCGGGCAUGCUCCCGGGCCGUUCGCCCGCUGCUCCCGCUGCUCUCCUGGACCCGCGGCUCCCGCUGCAACCCGCUGCUCCUCCGGCGUGGCGAGGCGACGCGCCGCUUGCAGGCGCACGGACCCCCGCGCGCGCGCGCCAGGCCGCGGGGACCACGCGCGUCGCGUCCAGCCCGGGGCGGAGGGAGGCUGCAGAGGGCGGCGCAGUGGACAGCCUGGCCGGCCGCGGACUACUUUCUACAUCUGGCCCCUGGGCCCCGCACGGCGAGGCUCUCACUUUGUAGCCUAGAGGAACCUGGACCUCACUUGUGUGUGGUCCAGGCUGGGAUGGAACAGGCGUGAGCCAGGAUUCCCUGACCGACCAGUUACAGCCAGGAGCCUUAAUGACUUGGGACGUGGUGCUGCCUUGGGGAAGGGUAUUUGCCUUGAAACAAAAUGAAGGAAGAAGACUUAGUACAUUAAACAGCCCGAUGAAGCAAGCCUAACGUGUUUACUGCACCACGAUGGACAGGAGGGUCUUCUACAGCAGAGACCAGCCUUGAACUCCUGCUCUUCCUGCCUUCACCUCCAAGGGCUGCGGUUACAGGCAGCUUUGCUUUUGAAGAGUUCCUUUCCAGGGGUCAAAUCUGAUUGACUUGGAGCCGGCUCUGACACCCUCCUCGAGCAGUGCCUGCGGGGCCCGGAAGGGACACUGUGGAGGGCUCUUCAAGCCCACCCACCCGAACAUGACCCGUGGAUUCAGUCUCUGCAGAGCAUCACGGCCCACAGACAGGAAGCAGCAGAACGUGGACUUCUCAGCUAGCUGCUGAGCUUCCCUGUGUGGUCGGGAGAGCCGGGGGAGCAUGGGGCCACAGGGCUGGACCCUCACUUCGGAAGCUGCUUCUGGGCAAGCCCAUGGGCUACCAUCAGAAACCCUGAAGUGAGGGCUGGAGAGAUGGCUCAGGGGUGAAGACCACUGCUCUUCCAAAGGACCCGGGUUCAGAUUCAAGCACCCACAUGGCAGUUUACAGCUGUCUAUAGUUACAGUUCCUGGGGAUCUGAUAUCCUCACACAUCCAAACAUGGAGGCAUUCCGCCAAAAUUAAGAAGAAAUUCUGAAAUAAGUUAUUGUGAGCAUGGGUUGAACAUCUAUGGGUGCUGUGAGAGAGUAUGGGGGUUCCCCAAACAUCGUGUCAGGCACCAUCGCACACUUCUGUAAGGCCAGGACUAGGAAAGCCGAGGCAGGAUGAAGUCAACCUGGAAUAUAUAACGUGACUCUGGGAAACAAAGCAAAACAAAACAUAAAAAUAAUUUAAACGGCAUUUGUUUGUUUGUUUGUUUCUUUAUUUGUGGGGUGUGCCUGCCAUUGCACACAGUUGGACGUCAGAGGACAGACAACUUUCAGGAACUGAUUCUCCCUGCCGCUGUAUGGGUCCCUGGGAUUGAACUGGGGUGUUCAACUAAGUGACAGGUGCUUUUACCCACUGAGCCAUCUUGCUAGCCCCAAACAAUAGCUUUGUUUUCAAGA